rnacentral:rRNA from 1 species
AUUGAACGCUGGCGGCAUGCUUUACACAUGCAAGUCGAACGGUAACAGGCCUUCGGGUGCUGACGAGUGGCGAACGGGUGAGUAAUGCAUCGGAACGUGCCCAGAGGUGGGGGAUAACGCAGCGAAAGCUGUGCUAAUACCGCAUGUGAUCUGAGGAUGAAAGCGGGGGACCAGGCAGCAAUGUUUGGCCUCGCGCCUUUGGAGCGGCCGAUGUCAGAUUAGGUAGUUGGUGGGGUAAAGGCCUACCAAGCCGACGUUCUGUAGCUGGUCUGAGAGGACGACCAGCCACACUGGGACUGAGACACGGCCCAGACUCCUACGGGAGGCAGCAGUGGGGAAUUUUGGACAAUGGGCGCAAGCCUGAUCCAGCAAUGCCGCGUGCGGGAAGAAGGCCUUCGGGUUGUAAACCGCUUUUGUACGGAACGAAAAGGCUCUGGCUAAUACCUGGGGCUGAUGACGGUACCGUAAGAAUAAGCACCGGCUAACUACGUG